UUGCAGAUCAUUUUUUAAAAAGGGAGAGGAGGUGGGCACCCAGUGUGUAGUGGCUGCAGAAAGCAGCCUCCUUGGUAGUGUACCCUGCCUGUUGCUUAUACCGGUUGCCCUAAAGAACCUUGGAGACAGCC
rnacentral:snoRNA from 1 species